rnacentral:pre_miRNA from 1 species
GGGUUUGAAUAAGAGCUCCAUUCGGUCCAAUAAAGGGGGUAGAGGGAAGGAUAGAGCUGCCACAUCAUGGAUUAGGCUAAGCCUUAUUCUUGGAUCCCAGAAUAGUGGGAGAAUAAGGCUUUGGCCAUUGCAUGGUGUGGGAGCAAUUUAUUGUGUUUAUAAUUACAUCUCUACCUUUUCCCUUGACCCACUCAUUGGACUGAAGGGAGCUCCUGCAUGCUUAUGA